rnacentral:rRNA from 1 species
AACGAACGCUGGCGGCAGGCUUAACACAUGCAAGUCGAACGCCCCGCAAGGGGAGUGGCAGACGGGUGAGUAACGCGUGGGAAUCUACCCAGAUCUACGGAACAACAGAGGGAAACUUCUGCUAAUACCGUAUACGCCCUACGGGGGAAAGAUUUAUCGGAUUUGGAUGAGCCCGCGUAAGAUUAGCUAGUUGGUGAGGUAAUGGCUCACCAAGGCGACGAUCUUUAGCUGGUCUGAGAGGAUGAUCAGCCACACUGGGACUGAGACACGGCCCAGACUCCUACGGGAGGCAGCAGUGGGGAAUAUUGGACAAUGGGCGCAAGCCUGAUCCAGCCAUGCCGCGUGAGUGAUGAAGGCCUUAGGGUUGUAAAGCUCUUUCAGUAGGGAAGAUAAUGACGGUACCUACAGAAGAAGCCCCGGCUAACUUCGUGCCAGCCGCCGCGGUAACAC